GAGGAAUAUUGCGCAAUGGGGGAAACCCUGACGCAGCGACGCCGCGUGAGUGAAGAAGGCCUUUGGGUUGUAAAGCUCUGUCAGGUGGGAAGAAGUGGAAUAUGGUUAAUACCCAUAUUCUUUGACGGUACCA
rnacentral:rRNA from 1 species